ACGCUGGCGGCACGCCUAACACAUGCAAGUCGAACGAAGUAGCAAUACUUAGUGGCAGACGGGUGAGUAACAUGUAGGUAUCUGCCCUUUGGCCUGGAAUAACACGAGGAAACUUGUGCUAAUACCGGAUAAGUCUUUUCGGAGAAAGCUUUAUGCACCAUUGGAUGAGCCUGCACUUGAUUAGUUUGUUGGUAGGGUAAUGGCCUACCAAGACUGUGAUCAAUAGCUGAUUUGAGAGGAUGAUCAGCCACAUUGGGACUGAGACACGGCCCAAACUCCUACGGGAGGCAGCAGUGGGGAAUCUUGCACAAUGGAGGAAACUCUGAUGCAGCGAUGCCGCGUGAGUGAAGAAGGCCCUUGGGUUGUAAAGCUCUUUCGUCGGGGAAGAAAAUGACUGUACCCGAAUAAGAAGGUCCGGCUAACUUCGUGCCAGCAGCCGCGGUAAUACGAAGGGACCUAGCGUAGUUCGGAAUUACUGGGCUUAAAGAGUUCGUAGGUGGUUGAAAAAGUUAGUGGUGAAAUCCCAGAGCUUAACUCUGGAACUGCCAUUAAAACUUUUCAGCUAGAGUAUGAUAGAGGAAAGCAGAAUUUCUAGUGUAGAGGUGAAAUUCGUAGAUAUUAGAAAGAAUACCAAUUGCGAAGGCAGCUUUCUGGAUCAUUACUGACACUGAGGAACGAAAGCAUGGGUAGCGAAGAGGAUUAGAUACCCUCGUAGUCCAUGCCGUAAACGAUGUGUGUUAGACGUUGGAAAUUUAUUUUCAGUGUCGCAGGGAAACCGAUAAACACACCGCCUGGGGAGUACGACC
rnacentral:rRNA from 1 species